UCCCAAGUAGCUCAGUUAGUAAAGAAUCUGCCUGCAAAGCAGGAGACCUGGGUUCAAUCCCUGGGUCGGGAA
rnacentral:tRNA from 1 species